UAGUCCACGCCCUAAACGAUGUUUACUUGAUAUUUGGACUUCGGUCUGAGUGUCCAAGGGAAACCGAUAAGUAAACCACCUGGGGAGUACGUUCGCAAGAAUGAAACUCAAAGGAAUUGACGGGGGCCCGCACAAGCGGUGGAGCAUGUGGUUUAAUUCGAUGCAACGCGAAGAACCUUACCUACCCUUGACAUCCUCAGAACUUGUUAGAGAUAACUUGGUGCCUUCGGGAAUUGAGUGACAGGUGCUGCAUGGCUGUCGUCAGCUCGUGUCGUGAGAUGUUGGGUUAAGUCCCGCAACGAGCGCAACCCUUGUCCCUAGUUGCCAGCACUUCGGGUGGAACUCUAGGGAGACUGCCGGUGACAAACCGGAGGAAGGUGGGGAUGACGUCAAGUCCUCAUGGCCCUUACGGGGUUGGGGCUACACACGUACUACAAUGGCGGUGACAAUGGGGCAGCGAGAUCGCGAGGUCGAGCCAAUCCCAAAAAACCGUCUCAGUUCGGAUUGCACGCUGCAACUCGCGU
rnacentral:rRNA from 1 species